rnacentral:rRNA from 1 species
AACGAACGCUGGCGGCAUGCCUAAUACAUGCAAGUCGAACGAGACCUUCGGGUCUAGUGGCGCACGGGUGCGUAACGCGUGGGAAUCUGCCCUUGGGUUCGGAAUAACUCGCCGAAAGGCGUGCUAAUACCGGAUGAUGACGUAAGUCCAAAGAUUUAUCGCCCAAGGAUGAGCCCGCGUAGGAUUAGCUUGUUGGUGAGGUAAAAGCUCACCAAGGCGACGAUCCUUAGCUGGUCUGAGAGGAUGAUCAGCCACACUGGGACUGAGACACGGCCCAGACUCCUACGGGAGGCAGCAGUAGGGAAUAUUGGACAAUGGGCGAAAGCCUGAUCCAGCAAUGCCGCGUGAGUGAUGAAGGCCUUAGGGUUGUAAAGCUCUUUUACCCGGGAUGAUAAUGACAGUACCGGGAGAAUAAGCUCCGGCUAACUCCGUGCCAGCAGCCGCGGUAAUACGGAGGGAGCUAGCGUUGUUCGGAAUUACUGGGCGUAAAGCGCACG